UGUCUCGUGGGCUCGGAGAUGUGUAUAAGAGACAGGGUUGAAGGUUGGGUAACACCAACUGGAGGACCGAACCCACUCCCGUUGAAAAGGUAGGGGAUGAAUUGUGGCUAGGGGUGAAAGGCCAAUCAAACUCGGAAAUAGCUGGUUCUCCGCGAAAACUAUUUAGGUAGUGCGGCAAGCGGACACGUUGAGGGGUAGAGCACUGAAAGAGCUAAGGGGGAGCGAUCCUUACUAAACUUUAUCAAACUCCGAAUACUCAACAGUGAUACUUGCCAGACAGACUGUAGGUGCUAAGGUCUACGGUCGAGAGGGAAAGAGCCCAGACCGCCAAUUAAGGUCCCAAAAUUAUGGCUAAGUGGUAAAGGAAGUGAAUUGUCCAAAACAGUCAGGAGGUUGGCUUAGAAGCAGCCAUCCUUUAAAGAAAGCGUAAUAGCUCACUGAUCUAAACAAGACGAUUUGCGCCGAAGAUGUAACGGGGCUAAAGCCAUAUACCGAAGUUGCGGAAUUGCACGUAAGUGCAAUUGGUAGCGGAGCGUUCUGUAAGCCUGCGAAGGUGUUCCGUAAGGAAUGCUGGAGGUAUCAGAAGUGAGAAUGCUGACAUGAGUAGCGAAAAGAAGUGUGAGAGACACUUCCGCUGAAAGUCCAAGGUUUCCUGCGUAAAGCUAAUCUGCGCAGGGUUAGUCGGCCCCUAAGGCGAGGCAGAGAUGCGUAGUCGAUGGGAAUCAGGUUAAUAUUCCUGAACCAACUAGGAAGUGACGGAUUCAGUAAAUUGUAUGUCCUUAUUGGAUUGGAUGUGCAGUGAAUGAGUCCCGGGAAAUAGCCCUAGUAUAGACCGUACCCGAAACCGACACAGGUGGACAGGUAGAGAAUACCAAAGCGCUUGAGAGAACUAUGUUGAAGGAACUAGGCAAAAUACUUGCGUAACUUCGGGAUAAGCAAGCCCCAUUUCUGGGCAACCAGAGGUGGGGGGCACAUACUAGGGGGUAGCGACUGUUUACUAAAAACACAGGGCUCUGCUAAAUUGAAAGAUGAAGUAUAGGGUCUGACGCCUGCCCGGUGCUGGAAGGUUAAGGAGAGAUGUGCAAGCAUUGAACUGAAGCCCCAGUAAACGGCGGCCGUAACUAUAACGGUCCUAAGGUAGCGAAAUUCCUUGUCGGGUAAGUUCCGACCUGCACGAAUGGCGUAACGACUUCCCCGCUGUCUCCAACAUAGACUCAGCGAAAUUGAAUUCUGAGUUAAGAUGCUCAGUACCCGCGGUUAGACGGGAAGACCCCGUGAACCUUUACUAUAGCUUUGCAGUGGUAUUAGGUGACAAAUGUGUAGGAUAGGUGGGAUGCUAUGAAGUUAUGACGCUAGUUGUAAUGGAGCAGACGUUGAAAUACCACCCUUUUGUUAUUUGAUAUCUAACCUGCUUCCGUUAUCCGGAAGAGGGACCCUGCAUGGUGGGUAGUUUGACUGGGGCGGUCGCCUCCCAAAGAGUAACGGAGGCGCGCAAAGGUUGGCUCAGAUUGGUCGGAAAUCAAUCGUUGAGUGCAAUGGCAUAAGCCAGCCUGACUGCGAGAGCGACAGUUCGAGCAGAGACGAAAGUCGGUCAUAGUGAUCCGGUGGUCCCGAGUGGAAGGGCCAUCGCUCAACGGAUAAAAGCUACCCUGGGG
rnacentral:rRNA from 1 species